GAUGAAGAACGUAGUGAAAUGCGAUAAGUAAUGUGAAUUGCAGAAUUCAGUGAAUCAUCGAAUCUUUGAACGCACAUUGCGCCCCCUGGUAUUCCGGGGGGCAUGCCUGUUCGAGCGUCAUUUCACCACUCAAGCCUCGCUUGGUAUUGGGCAACGCGGUCCGCCGCGUGCCUCAAAUCGACCGGCUGGGUCUUCUGUCCCCUAAGCGUUGUGGAAACUAUUCGCUAAAGGGUGUUCGGGAGGCUACGCCGUAAAACAACCCCAUUUCUAAGGUUGACCUCGGAUCAGGUAGGGAUACCCGCUGAACUUAAGCAUACAAUAAGCGGAGGA
rnacentral:misc_RNA from 1 species